rnacentral:rRNA from 1 species
UGGGGAAUUUUGCGCAAUGGGCGAAAGCCUGACGCAGCAACGCCGCGUGGAGGAUGAAGGUGCUCUGCAUUGUAAACUCCUGUCGGCCGGGAAGAAUCGGCUGAGUGCUAAUCAGCUCAGUCUUGACUGUACCGGCAAAGGAAGCCCCGGCUAACUCCGUGCCAGCAGCCGCGGUAAUACGGAGGGGGCAAGCGUUACUCGGAAUUAUUGGGCGUAAAGGGCGCGUAGGCGGUUCCGUGCGUCGGAGGUGAAAUCCCCGGGCUUAACCCGGGAGCUGCCCCCGAUACGGCGGGACUUGAGUCCGGGAGAGGGGAGCAGAAUUCCCAGUGUAGCGGUGAAAUGCGUAGAUAUUGGGAGGAAUACCAGUGGCGAAGGCGGCUCCCUGGACCGGUACUGACGCUGAGGCGCGAAAGCGUGGGUAGCAAACAGG